CUCAUCAAACCAGGUAGCUUUAUCUAUUGUCCUAAGGCGAUGAGAAGGACCUCCUACUUUCCCAUAGGAAGUAGCUCAUUUUUCUUACCUGCUCACAAAGGCUAAUCUUAAGAACUGCAAAGGGAAAUGUGAUACCAUUUUGAACCUGAGCUGAACAUGAGUGUUUUAUAUAUUCUACUUUUACAGAGGAGGUUCUCAGAGAAAUGGGAAUAGUCUAGACCACAUUGGGUACCUCAUAACAAACCUAUGAGCUGGGUGCCUUUAUUUCUAUCUAGUAGCAAAAGCAUAAAAUCCCGCUCCGAAACCUCAAGACCAAGCAGUACCAACGUCUGGACAUAAGGUAGAUAGAGCUCUGGAGUCAGACUUGCCUGACUCAAAUCCUGCUCCAGGCAGCGCUACACCUCUGGACAAGACUACUGACCACUACAUAUGUCAUUACAUACGUGGAAAUGAUAAUGGCAUCUACCUUAUGGGGUUCCUGAGAGGAUGAUAGCAGACCACGCAUUAAAACACAAAGCACGGAACUGGGAACGUUAUAGGUUCUCAUGAAUGCCACCCAGGGAGCAUACCAAUGGUCCACUGAGCUACUGAAAUGAUGCUUCGGACCUGAUCCCUGCCUCAUAAAUAAGGACCAGACAUGGAAUCCAGGUCAGUGAGAAUUUACUAUUAUUAAUACUCAAUUGAACAUUGGAGAAAUACCAGUGAUUUCAAGGAACUUGCAGUCCAGUUAGGAAGAUAUUAUAAACACAUGAAACAGGAGAUCUGAGAAAUGACACACAUAGUAUCAGAAUUAAUAAAAUAGAAAAUAAAAUCUAAGCAAAGGCUCAUUCUGGGUUGAGUAGUGAUAUUUAAGGAAAGCACUGUAGAGGAGACAUUUGAACCUGAGGUGAAAAAUGAGAAGUAACAGGUGAGGAGGAAGGGAGAAGGAUGUUUUCAGUGCUGGGUAGUGUUAGGAAGCGUACAUUGAUUUAUAUGGCUGGAAAUCAUGAGAAUUAGC
rnacentral:lncRNA from 1 species